AAUCCAAACCAACAAUUUUAAAAGUCCAAGUGUAUGUGACAUGGUGGAAACCAGUUUCUUUAAAUAGAGCUUAAUAACCACCCUCAGAGUUUCUGCAUAAUGAUGCUCACUCCAGAAGUGUAUACUGCUUCCAAAUGGAACAUACAAACAUUUGAAUCACCAUUUAUUUCCAGAAGAGGUACUGCCUGAGUAGUUAUCAGUCUCUUUCGGUGCCACAUGCAGUCCAAGCAGAGCUGGGAGCUGCUCCUACUUUUGCCUCCAUAUAGGAGAAAGCAGCAGGGCUGGAGGUACACCUUCUCCUGUAAAUGUUCCUGGUGCUGCUUUGUUGCAUGUUUAAUGUGACACAUGAGCAAAUAAAUGCUGGGGAAUCCUUAAGCAGUUCAAGGUAGCAAGGCUCACAAACAGAAAGACAGUAGACAUUACAUGUCACAACCUUAGUAAACUGCACAUAUUGUUUCACAUUACACUACAGACAAACUCUGUUUGGUUUUUUUUUACGUCCAGAGCAUGCUUGUCUAAAGUGAGUAUUCUUUUUAAGAUAACCCACCUGGAGAGCCAUAAAAAUGUAAUAAGCAAUGCUAGGUCUGUAGUCUUAAGGGAUACAGAAGUAAUGAAAUUACCAAUUAAUACUGGAAUGUGUUAACCUAGUAUACACAUCACAGUUAAAUAAUCUUCCUGUACCUGAGCUGAAUGAUAAAGAAUGACUUCUUUUUAUUCUACCUCUACAGAAUUAUAUGACUCACUCUCUUUGCAGCAAGAAAUGGCUUCCCUAUAAGACAUAGCAGAAAAUCACAUUUCUGAUUAGCGUUAUAUCAGAAUAAAUCUAGACAUACACCCUUGAAGUCCUUAGUAUUAUCCCAAGUUUACAUUAGCCCAAGUAAGUUGCCAGUAUGACAACUCCAGAUGAGUUUACAAACACAACCUAUAAAUGAAAAAUAUGAUUUCUAAGAGAGUCAUGAGCCAAGAAGGUGACAAAUACCAAGAUUUCAGAUUAUCUGAAGCAAAAAGAUACAUAUUUCAAUUGGUAAGAUUUUUAGAUUAAAUAUCAGGAAAAAACCCACACAGCUUCAUUACGAGAGUAGUCGAACACUGUAACAUGCUGCUCAGUGAGGCUGUGAAAUCUCCAUCUCCAUUCUUGGAAAUACUUGUUUCUUCACUGAAUGAAGCCCUGAAGCAAUGUAACUUGGCCACAUUCUGAGUAGGGCAUUGGAUCAGAUGACCUCCAAAACUCUCAAGACGUGUAUUAUUCCUAAAUUCAUACACCUCUAUCCAAGAAUACAAAAAUCUGAGUCAGUGUUUGCUAUGUGUGCAAGUUCAGUGCAAGGAUUCUAGAAAAUAGGUAUGGAAAGUACACUUUCCAUAUUGAAAUUGCCUUUACACUGCCUCUCCUAGGGAGCAGCAGAAUCUUGUCAUAAAGCAUGAUUCAGGUGCACUGAAGUAACAUGUUUCAUGACUUCCAGAUUAGAAAGAUUAAAAAAAAACACAGGAUCUGGUUUAUUUUGAUAUGUCCACAGCUUUCUCUUAGCCUUACAAGAAUUUUAGCUUCAGUGCUUAAGGUUUUCAAAGCUGUAAAUAUAGAGCAAAAGCCCACACACAUUAAUGCCCUCGAUACAAUUUCUGUGGAUGCUGGGGCACAGAAUCAGCCCUGGAGAUACAUUUUCACAGUCAUUUUAUCAAGUAUUGUUUCCAAUUAUAAUGAAUUUACAUAUUCUAUGCAAAACAAAAACAUGCUACAUUUAUCCAUGUUUAUCUAUAGUAAUAAAAGUAUUUUAAAAAUUAACGGAGAAGCCACAGAACAUGAAGAUGGUAAGUCCCUAUAAUGUAGCUUACCCAAUACUACUACCAUUUCUUUAAUUUGAUCUAAAUAACAAUGAUGCUAAGUGAACCACAAGUUACAGAGUUCACCCAUAUAUUUCCAGGCUUUCAAAAUUAAUUGGAUGACAAAUGAUUGCAUUAUUGAGCUCUAAUGGCUUAAAAAAGCAUGUAAUAGAUCAGCUGCAAAACCAAAGACAUCUUACCAUGGUACUGCUUGAAUUGAUUCAAUAGCUACUUCUGAAAAGUAAACACACAACAGCUGUUUCACAUUUUUGUUCACCUGAUGCAAAUUUUGAUCCUCAACCCUAAGAUUCUUUUAAGUUGAAGCUGUGUGGUGAUCUUUUACAAAGUUCCACUUCAAGUGUGCAACUACUGAAUUGCUCAACCCCAUGCUUACUUAGAUUUCCCUCAGUAAGUAACAAGUAUUUUAAAGUAAGUAUUGUUUUAAAAGUUAGUAUUUGUUAAAUAAUCUAUCUUUUGGCCCUCAAAUACAUAAUUUUUCAUUUGUCUAUCUGUUUGUUCUCAAAAUAGAAACAGUAACUUUAUAAAGCUUUCAUUUUCUAUUCAUGGUAUUAUUAAAUGCCUGAGGCAGUGAAAAUUUUCAGCAACUUUAACACAAACCCACACAAAGAUACAAACUGAAACUUUAGCAUCAUUUGAUCUACUGCAUGAAUAUUCACAGCAAUGGAAUUUAAAAUAUCAUCCAACAGAAUAUCUGAAUAAGAAAUUAAUCUAUUGCCAUGAAGGUGGUGUAUAUUUAAGUUCUGGAGUAAGUUCAUGCUCACCUUCUUGGUCUGUCCUUUUUUAAACAAUUCUAUUUAGUAGAAAAUAAAUUA